GACGAACGCUGGCGGCGUGCCUAACACAUGCAAGUCGAACGGAAAGACCCUGCUUUUGUGGGGUGCUCGUGUGGCGAGCGGGUGAGUAACACGUGAGUAAACUGCCCUUGACUUUGGGAUAACUUCAGGAAACUGGGGCUAAUACCGGAUAGGAUCUCCUGCUGCAUGGUGGGGGUUGGAAAGUUUCGGCGGUUGGGGAUGGACUCGCGGCUUAUCAGCUUGUUGGUGGGGUAGUGGCUUACCAAGGCUUUGACGGGUAGCCGGCAUGAGAGGGUGACCGGCGACAUUGGGACUGAGAUACGGCCCAGACUCCUACGGGAGGCAGCAGUGGGGAAUAUUGCACAAUGGGCGGAAGCCUGAUGCAGCAACGCCGCGUGCGGGAUGACGGCCUUCUGGUUGUAAACCGCUUUCGCCUGUGACGAAGCGUGAGUGACGGUAAUGGGUAAAGAAGCACCGGCUAACUACGUG
rnacentral:rRNA from 1 species